AUUGAACGCUGGCGGCAGGCCUAACACAUGCAAGUCGAACGGUAACAGGAAGCAGCUUGCUGCUUUGCUGACGAGUGGCGGACGGGGGAGUAAUGUCUGGGAAACUGCCCGAUGGAGGGGGAUAACUACUGGAAACGGUAGCUAAUACCGCAUAACGUCGCAAGACCAAAGAGGGGGACCUUAAGGCCUCUUGCCCUCGGAUGUGCCCAGAUGGGAUUAGCUAGUAGGUGGGGUAACGGCUCACCUAGGCGACGAUCCCUAGCUGGUCUGAGAGGAUGACCAGCCACACUGGAACUGAGACACGGUCCAGACUCCUACGGGAGGCAGCAGUGGGGAAUAUUGCACAAUGGGCGCAAGCCUGAUGCAGCCAUGCCGCGUGUAUGAAGAAGGCCUUCGGGUUGUAAAGUACUUUCAGCGGGGAGGAAGGGAGUAAAGUUAAUACCUUUGCUCAUUGACGUUACCCGCAGAAGAAGCACCGGCUAACUCCGUG
rnacentral:rRNA from 1 species